rnacentral:rRNA from 1 species
AGGACGAACGCUGGCGGCGUGCUUAACACAUGCAAGUCGAGCGGAAAGGCCUUUCGGGGUACUCGAGCGGCGAACGGGUGAGUAAUGCCUAGGAAUCUGCCUAGUGGUGGGGGAUAACGUUCGGAAACGGACGCUAAUACCGCAUACGUCCUACGGGAGAAAGCGGGGGACCUCCGGGCCUCGCGCCAGUUAGAUGAGCCUAGGUCGGAUUAGCUAGUUGGUGAGGUAAUGGCUCACUAAGGCGACGAUCCGUAACUGGUCUGAGAGGAUGAUCAGUCACACUGGAACUGAGACACGGUCCAGACUCCUACGGGAGCAGCAGUGGGAAUAUGGACAGUGGGCAAAGCCUGAUCCAGCCAUGCCGCGUGUGUGAAG